rnacentral:misc_RNA from 1 species
AAUUCUCAACCCCUCCAGCCUGUGUUGGCUUGUGGGGCUUGGAUUGUGGAGGUGUUGCCGGCCUUUUGAAAGGUUGGCUCCUCUGAAAUGCAUUAGCGGAACUGUUUGUGAUCCAAGGUGUGAUAAUUAUCUAUGCCAAUGGAUUGCUCUCUGUCUUGUUCAGCUGCCAACUGUCUACCAAGGACAAUCAUUACUGAAU